CCCUUAGAUGUUCUGGGCCGCACGCGUGCUACACUGAUGCAUUCAACGAGUCUAAAGCCUGGUCUGAUAGGGCUGGGUAAUCUUUUGAAAGUGCAUCGUGAUUGGGAUAGAUGAUUGCAAUUCUUCAUCUUCAACGAGGAAUGCCUAGUAAACGCAAGUCAUCAGCUUGCAUCGAUUACGUCCCUGCCCUUUGUACACACCGCCCGUCGCUCCUACCGAUUGAAUGAUCCGAUGAAUACCAUGGAUUGAGAGUACGAAUAGGUUCGCUUAUUUCUGCUGCUCGAGAAGUGGAGUAAAUCUUAUCAUUUAGAGGAAGGAGAAGUCGUAACA
rnacentral:rRNA from 1 species